CGCAGUGCUGGGGCUGAGGUGCUCCCGCCCCCUGUAGUCCCAGCGGGGCGGGGGAACAGCUCCCGCCAGAGCGUGGGGCAAGCGAGGGGGCUGUGGGGCCGGGCCGGUGAAGCGGGCGGUGCGAUGAACCCCUGGUCCUGGCCAAGCUGGUCACUGGCGGUUGGAAACAGGCCCCAGUUGCCUUCACUUCAGUAGUGACAGUGAAUCCAGGACCUCUACUCCAUAGGUAAUUGAAACCCUUGGAGGAGGAACAGUGGAGAGAGUCCCUUGAUGGAUGUCAGGACAGAAGAAGCGGACCAGGAACCCUCUGGAUGGUGAUGUUCUCCAGGUGCAGGACAGGAAAUGUCUACUCCUGACAACUGGUGUUGGAAUCAGAUGCAACCAUGGAUGAAAACAGUCUAAUUGCAAGUGUGGAUAGAAUGAACAUCGUUUGAAGAUCUGUCUGAUGCAAGUUAAUAUGCAGGAAAUGUUACUCACCAUUUGGAUCUAUAAAAAGGAGAGUUUCAAAAGUUGUUGCAAAGCAGACUGAAAGUACAGAUUUCCAGACUCAAGAUGCAUCCUGGAGCUGGUCACAAAAAAUUCUGCAGUGUGAUUAUGUUUCAUGCCUAUUCAUUAUCAAAUAUUACUCUAUACCUAAGAGGUUUAUACCAGACUCAACUAAUCAAAGAAAAUUAUAGCAAAACCAAGCAACCAGCUAUAAAGAAAAGUGUGUACAAUUCAAGUCAAUGCCAGCCAUUGAGAAGAGUUAAGUAAACAAGAAUGGUAUUUGCGUGCCAUGAGGCAGGAACCAUAAAACGCGUAUAAACCUAACAAUUGCCUGAACUCUUUUUUUAUAAACUAAAUGAGCAAGGAAUCAAUAAGCCCAAUCCUAGACUAGCAAGACAGUUUGGCCUUUCAAGCUAUUGAUCCCAAUUACUUUGUCUGAAUAAGACUUUAAAAAAAAAAAAUCACCACAUGUGUGUUUGAUGCUGUCCUAACAUUAGUCACACCACAUAAAAGAAAACUGGAAAAAGAAUUUCACAGUAGUAUAUGUGACAACUCCUGGGCAGAAAUUCAAGUCACCACAUUUUCCCCAUCAUGGAGAAAGUUUCAGUGGAAAGUUAUCAUAUUCUUCUCUACACUGCAGUAAUCACCAACUGAAACUCGAACAGCCAGAACCCCUGCUGAAUGUGGAUGUGGAAAGUAGGUAACCUAAAACAUUUCCUGGGACUGUCAUCCAUGCCCAAAAUUUUGGUCACAAAUACAUGCAGAAGUUUACAGAAAAUUAAAAGUAAACUUGGAUGUGAACACAGUCCACUGAACUCUGGAAAAUACUCAACUAAAUCUGAAAACAAAGAUUUUUUCAGAUUAACAGGUGCAAGCAAAUGCAUCAAAAUGCUAAACUUACAAGAAAUGAUAGGAAACAGAUCACAACCAAAGUCCAUUUUAAGGAGCAUUAGGGUUUAGCCAGAGAGCUACUUCUAAUGUGCAACAAAGAAAUGUAACAAUAACCUUGAAUUAAGAUUACACUGCUUUCUGUUUAGAAAGAUGUCCCUUUCUCUAUAUCUUAAAUAUGUGUGUGUGUAUAUAUAUAUAUACACACACACACGCACACGCAUCCCCAAAAUCGAGAUGCCUAGCUAGGUAUAACAAUUCUGCAUAAAACAUGAUACAGGCUCUACAAAAAGUACAUAUGGAUCUCUUUGCGUAUAAUAUUUCACCACAUAUCUGCACCCUUAUCUGUAUAUACAAUCCAAUUAAAAAUAUUUUACAUAUAUAUUUGAAACUAUCCCUAAUAAAACAG